rnacentral:rRNA from 1 species
AUUGAACGCUGGCGGCAUGCUUUACACAUGCAAGUCGAACGGUAACAGGCCGCAAGGUGCUGACGAGUGGCGAACGGGUGAGUAAUGCAUCGGAACGUGCCCAGUCGUGGGGGAUAACGCCGCGAAAGCUGCGCUAAUACCGCAUACGAUCUAUGGAUGAAAGCGGGGGACCGUAAGGCCUCGCGCGAUUGGAGCGGCCCAUGUCAGAUUAGGUAGUUGGUGGGGUAAAGGCUCACCAAGCCAACGAUCUGUAGCCGGUCUGAGAGGACGACCAGCCACACUGGGACUGAGACACGGCCCAGACUCCUACGGGAGGCAGCAGUGGGGAAUUUUGGACAAUGGGCGCAAGCCUGAUCCAGCAAUGCCGCGUGCAGGAAGAAGGCCUUCGGGUUGUAAACUGCUUUUGUACGGAACGAAACGGUCCUGGUUAAUACCCGGGGCUAAUGACGGUACCGUAAGAAUAAGCACCGGCUAACUACGUGCCAGCCGCCGCAGUAAUAC